rnacentral:rRNA from 1 species
CUGCGUUGCUACCAUGCAGUCGAACGGCAGCACAGUAAGAGCUUGCUCUUACGGGUGGCGAGUGGCGGACGGGUGAGGAAUGCAUCGGAAUCUACUCUGUCGUGGGGGAUAACGUAGGGAAACUUACGCUAAUACCGCAUACGACCUACGGGUGAAAGCAGGGGAUCUUCGGACCUUGCGCGAUUGAAUGAGCCGAUGCCCGAUUAGCUAGUUGGCGGGGUAAGAGCCCACCAAGGCGACGAUCGGUAGCUGGUCUGAGAGGAUGAUCAGCCACACUGGAACUGAGACACGGUCCAGACUCCUACGGGAGGCAGCAGUGGGGAAUAUUGGACAAUGGGCGCAAGCCUGAUCCAGCCAUACCGCGUGGGUGAAGAAGGCCUUCGGGUUGUAAAGCCCUUUUGUUGGGAAAGAAAAGCAGUCGGUUAAUACCCGAUUGUUCUGACGGUACCCAAAGAAUAAGCACCGGCUAACUUCGUGCCAGCAGCCGCGGUAAUACGAAGGGUGCAAGCGUUACUCGGAAUUACUGGGCGUAAAGCGUGCGUAGGUGGUUGUUUAAGUCUGUCGUGAAAGCCCUGGGCUCAACCCUGGGAAUUGCGAUGGAAACUGGGCGACUAUAGUGUGGCACAAAGUAGGGGGAAAUUCUGGUGUGCUGUGUGAUGCGUAUAGAUCAGGAGAAGAAUACCUGCCGAAGAAGAUUGCCCCCUGCCAACACACCUACUGAAGCACAAAAACGUGGGGGAGAAGAAAAGAAGAUAUAUUAUGUUACUCUACUUCCUUCAUCAUGCAUACUUGUUAGCUGGGUUGGUAGUUGGUCAUACUG